UACGGAGGGGGGCUAGCGUUGUUCGGAAUUACUGGGCGUAAAGCGUGCGCAGGCGGUUUUGUAAGCCAGAUGUGAAAUCCCCGGGCUUAACCUGGGAAUGGCAUUUGGGACUGCAAGGCUUGAGUGCGGCAGAGGAGACUGGAAUUCCUGGUGUAGCAGUGAAAUGCGUAGAUAUCAGGAGGAACACCGAUGGCGAAGGCAGGUCUCUGGGCUGACACUGACGCUCAUGCACGAAAGCGUGGGGAGCAAACAGG
rnacentral:rRNA from 1 species